rnacentral:rRNA from 1 species
UAGGGAAUCUUCCGCAAUGGGCGCAAGCCUGACGGAGCAACGCCGCGUGAGUGAUGAAGGCCUUCGGGUUGUAAAACUCUGUCUUCUGUGAAGAACAAGCCUAUGAAUAGAACACUUAGGCCCUGACGGUAACAGAGGAGGAAGCCCCGGCUAACUACGUGCCAGCAGCCGCGGUAAUACGUAGGGGGCAAGCGUUGUCCGGAAUCACUGGGCGUAAAGCGCGCGCAGGCGGCUGUUUACGUCCGGGGUGAAAGUCCAGAGCUCAACUCUGGGACUGCCUUGGAUACGGGAUGGCUUGAGGAUCGGAGAGGCAAGGGGAAUUCCACGUGUAGCGGUGAAAUGCGUAGAGAUGUGGAGGAACACCUGUGGCGAAGGCGCCUUGCUGGCCGAUUUCUGACGCUGAGGCGCGAAAGCGUGGGGAGCAAACA